UAAGCAUAUCAAUAAGGCCGGAGGAAG
rnacentral:rRNA from 1 species